rnacentral:lncRNA from 1 species
AUGGAGCAUGCAAGAAAUGACCCGGAAAACCAGCCAAAUUAUUAUUUCAUUGCCAUAAUCUGCUAAAUGUUAGGAAAAAAGUUUACAUAUAGCUUUUCUGUAACAUUUUCUCUCACCAUCACCAAUUCCAUAAACAAAAAAAGGAAGGAAAAAAAUUGGAAGAAGAAACAUGAACAAGAAGAGAGAAAGAGGAAACAAACAAGAACAAGAAGAUAAAUAACAAAUGCCUGGCUUUCCCAUGUACGCCGCUGAAAACUUUUGGACUCCGAUCGAUCAAUAAUUCUUGGCCUUGAAAGCAUCGAGAUUAAUACUAUAUAGUCUUCCAAGCAAACCGUACGCCGACGUUGGAAGUGCCUCAGUCACCAGAACAGAGAAAAAACUUCAGAAACUCAGAAGGUUGCAAGAAAUUAAAUACAUGGACGAAACGCCAUUAUUAUUAGAUUAAUCUCUUGCAAGCAAGCAAUAACAUCAUAUUUCUUCCUCUUCUUCAUAACUUUUGGGCCUUCUUUGGCAACUCCUUCACAAAGCAAAGUUUGAAAAAGAAUGAAAAAAAAGGGGUAUCAAAUGGUCAAAAAAUCAGGAGUUUGUCUAGGACUUAACACAAAGAAAAUAUGAAUAUAAAAGGGUGAAUAAUAAGAGGGGUGGGAAGCUAGAUAGGAAAAGGAAGAAGGGUGUUCCCAAGAAGAUGACGAGCGUUUCCCGUUAAUGUUGUUUUCAAAGGUGAAUAUAUAUAUAUAUAAAAGAAAAACAAAUAAAUAUUUAGGCUUCAAAGAGUGGGCCAAAGAAAGAAGAGGCCUUUUUGUUUCACACGUUGGGGUGGUUCCUUU